UACGUAGGGUGCGAGCGUUGUCCGGAAUUAUUGGGCGUAAAGAGCUCGUAGGCGGUGUGUCACGUCGGCCGUGAAAACCUGCAGCUUAACUUGGGAAUGGCAUUGGAAACUGGCGGGCUGGAGUGCGGCAGAGGGGGGUGGAAUUCCACGUGUAGCAGUGAAAUGCGUAGAGAUGUGGAGGAACACCGAUGGCGAAGGCAGCCCCCUGGGCCGACACUGACGCUCAGGCACGAAAGCGUGGGGAGCAAACAGG
rnacentral:rRNA from 1 species